AACGAACGCUGGCGGCAUGCCUAACACAUGCAAGUCGAACGAGACCUUCGGGUCUAGUGGCGCACGGGUGCGUAACGCGUGGGAAUCUGCCCUGGGGUGCGGAAUAACUCGGAGAAAUCCGUGCUAAUACCGCAUAAUGUCUUCGGACCAAAGAUUUAUCGCCCUGGGAUGAGCCCGCGUAGGAUUAGCUAGUUGGUGGGGUAAAGGCCUACCAAGGCGACGAUCCUUAGCUGGUCUGAGAGGAUGAUCAGCCACACUGGGACUGAGACACGGCCCAGACUCCUACGGGAGGCAGCAGUGGGGAAUAUUGGACAAUGGGCGAAAGACCUGAUCCAGCAAUGCCGCGUGAGUGAUGAAGGCCCUAGGGUUGGUAAAAGCUCUUUUUACCCCGGGUAAGUGAUAAAUGACAGUACCGGGA
rnacentral:rRNA from 1 species